AUUCUUUCAUAGUUGAUAAGUGUGAUUGGGUGUUUAAUGCUCAUUUGAGAUGUUCCUCCCUCAAACCUUGGUAUGAUAUUUUCACAUUACCCAUCUGGUG
ensembl:snoRNA